UACGGGGGGAGCAAGCGUUGUUCGGAUUUACUGGGCGUAAAGGGCGCGUAGGCGGCCACCGCAAGUCGGUUGUGAAAUCUCCGGGCUUAACCCGGAAAGGUCAAUCGAUACUGCGGGGCUAGAGUGCAGAAGGGGCAACUGGAAUUCUCGGUGUAGCGGUGAAAUGCGUAGAUAUCGAGAGGAACACCUGCGGCGAAGGCGGGUUGCUGGGCUGACACUGACGCUGAGGCGCGAAAGCCAGGGGAGCAAACGGG
rnacentral:rRNA from 1 species